rnacentral:rRNA from 1 species
AAUCUUGCGCAAUGGGCGAAAGCCUGACGCAGCCAUGCCGCGUGAAUGAUGAAGGUCUUAGGAUUGUAAAAUUCUUUCACCGGGGACGAUAAUGACGGUACCCGGAGAAGAAGCUCCGGCUAACUUCGUGCCAGCAGCCGCGGUAAUACGAAGGGGGCUAGCGUUGCUCGGAAUUACUGGGCGUAAAGGGAGCGUAGGCGGACAGUUUAGUCAGAGGUGAAAGCCCAGGGCUCAACCUUGGAAUUGCCUUUGAUACUGGCUGUCUUGAGUACGGGAGAGGUGUGUGGAACUCCGAGUGUAGAGGUGAAAUUCGUAGAUAUUCGCAAGAACACCAGUGGCGAAGGCGGCUCACUGGCCCGAUACUGACGCUGAGGUGCGAAAGCGUGGGGAGCAAAC